CUACGGGAGGCAGCAGUGGGGAAUUUUGGACAAUGGGCGCAAGCCUGAUCCAGCAAUGCCGCGUGCAGGAAGAAGGCCUUCGGGUUGUAAACUGCUUUUGUACGGAACGAAACGGUCCUGGUUAAUACCUGGGGAUAAUGACGGUACCGUAAGAAUAAGCACCGGCUAACUACGUGCCAGCAGCCGCGGUAAUACGUAGGGUGCGAGCGUUAAUCGGAAUUACUGGGCGUAAAGCGUGCGCAGGCGGUGCUGUAAGACAGGCGUGAAAUCCCCGGGCUCAACCUGGGAAUUGCGCUUGUGACUGCAGUGCUGGAGUACGGCAGAGGGGGAUGGAAUUCCGCGUGUAGCAGUGAAAUGCGUAGAUAUGCGGAGGAACACCGAUGGCGAAGGCAGUCCCCUGGGCCUGUACUGACGCUCAUGCACGAAAGCGUGGGGAGCAAACAGGAUUAGAUACCCUGGUAGUCCACGCCCUAAACGAUGUCAACUGGUUGUUGGGAAUUUACUUUCUCAGUAACGAAGCUAACGCGUAAAGUUGACCG
rnacentral:rRNA from 1 species